ensembl:rRNA 5S_rRNA 5S ribosomal RNA
GCAUAAGGACAUAUUACCCUGAACAAGCCUGAUCCCGUCUGAUCUCGGACUCUAAGCAGGGUCAGGCCUGGUUAGUACUUGGAUGGGAGACCACCUAGGAAGACCAGGUGCUGUAGGAA